ACAAAAGUCUUCUAGGGAUCUUGUUAAAAUGCAAAUUCUGAUUUAAUACGUUAGGGGUGAGACCAAAGAGUUUGCAUUUCCAGCAAGCUCCCUGAUGAUGCCACU
rnacentral:pre_miRNA from 1 species